rnacentral:rRNA from 1 species
AGUGAACGCUGGCGGUAGGCCUAACACAUGCAAGUCGAACGGCAGCACAGUAAUAGCUUGCUCUUACGGGUGGCGAGUGGCGGACGGGUGAGGAAUACAUCGGAAUCUACUUUUUCGUGGGGGAUAACGUAGGGAAACUUACUCUAAUACCGCAUACGACCUACGGGUGAAAGCAGUGGAUCUUCGGACCUUGCGCGAUUGAAUGAGCCGAUGUCGGAUUAGCUAGUUGGCGGGGUAAAGGCCCACCAAGGCGACGAUCCGUAGCUGGUCUGAGAGGAUGAUCAGCCACACUGGAACUGAGACACGGUCCAGACUCCUACGGGAGGCAGCAGUGGGGAAUAUUGGACAAUGGGCGCAAGCCUGAUCCAGCCAUACCGCGUGGGUGAAGAAGGCCUUCGGGUUGUAAAGACCUUUUGUUGGGAAAGAAAAGCAGCAGGUUAAUACCCAGCUGUUCUGACGGUACCCAAAGAAUAAGCACCGGCUAACUUCGUG